UGCGGCCCAUCAGCUAGUUGGAGAGGUAACGGCUCCCCAAGGCAAUGACGGGUAGGGGGUGUGCGAGCAUGGUCCCCCACACUGGGACUGAGACACGGCCCAGACUCCUACGUGGAGGCAGCAGCAGGGAAUAUUGCGCAAUGGACGGAAGUCUGACGCAGCGACGCCGCGUGGAUGACGAAGGCCUUCGGGUCUGUAUAAUCCUUUUCCGGGCGAUGAGGAAGGACACUAGCCUGGGAAUAAGCGUCGGCUAACUACGUGCCAGCAGCCGCGGUAAGACGUAGGACGCGAGCGUUAUCCGGAUUUACUGGGCGUCAAGCGCCUGCAGGCGGUCAGGUAAGUCGGGCGUGAAAGCCCCGUGCUCAACGCGGGGAGGCCAAUCGAUACUGCGUGACUUGAGGGCGGAAGAGGGGAGUGGAAUACCCGGUGUAACGGUAACAUGCGCAGAUAUCGGGAGGAACACCAGUGGCGAAUGCGGCUCCACUGGACCGUACCUGACGCUCAGAGGCGACUGCUAGGGGAGCGAACGGGAUUAGAGACCCUGGUAGUCUUAGCCCUAAACGCUGGAUGCUAGGUGUAGGACUGAUGAGGCUCUGUGACGGAGCGAACGCGAUAAGCAUCCCGCCUGGGAACUACGGCCGCAAGGCUAAGACUCAAACGAAUUGACGGGGACCCGCUCAAGCAACGGAGCGUGUGGUUUAAUUCGAUGCUACACGUAGAACCUUACCUGGGUUUGACAUGUUGGUGGUACCGAACCGAAAGGGGAGGGACCCUUCGGGGAGCCAAUACAGGUGUUGCAUGGUUGUCGUCAGCCCUUACUGUGAGGUGUCGGGUUAAGUCCCGUAACGAGCGCAACCCUUGCUUUUAGUUAUAUGUGUCUAAGGGGACUGCCGGCGACAAGCCGGAGUAAGGUGGGGAUGACGUCAAGUCAGCAUGGCCUUGAUAUCCAGGGCUACACACACGCUACAAUGGCCGGUACAAAGGGCAGCCAAGCCGCGAGGUGGAGCGAAUCACAGCAUAGCCGGUCCCAGUUCGGAUUGCAGGUUGCAACCCGCAUGCAUGAAGUUGGAGUUGUUAGUAACCGCGCGUCAGCCAUAGUGCGGUGAUACGUACCCCGGGUCUUGUACACACCGCCCGUCACGUCAUGGGAGUUG
rnacentral:rRNA from 1 species